rnacentral:rRNA from 1 species
UACGAAGGGUGCAAGCGUUACUCGGAAUCACUGGGCGUAAAGCGUGCGUAGGCGGUUUCUUAAGUCUGUCGUGAAAGCCCUGGGCUCAACCUGGGAACGGCGAUGGAUACUGGGAAGCUAGAAUGUGAGAGAGGAUGGUGGAAUUCCCGGUGUAGCGGUGAAAUGCGUAGAGAUCGGGAGGAACACCAGUGGCGAAGGCGGUCUGCUGGGCAGUUCUGACACUGAGGCGCGACAGCGUGGGGAGCAAACAGG